rfam:Salmo salar isolate Sally breed double haploid chromosome ssa26, whole genome shotgun sequence.
AUUCUUCCAAUUUGUAAGUCGCUCUGGAUAAGAGCGUCUGCUAAAUGACUUAAA